GUCUUUCUUAAAGUCAUUCUUUGAAGGAGGGAUCUACCAUUGCCAUCUACUUUAGAUAAGGCACUUUUGGGCUUGUAACCCCAGGCAGGCCCAGUAUUCCAUCCUGCAGCCCCCCAAUGGUCACAGUUGUGUCCCCAUUGCUUGUCAACUACAAAACACAAGUUGUUGGGGAAAAUAGCAACCUAGCCUAGGUGCAGUCCCAAAUAGAAUCUCAUAUGGGGACAGUGAGGUAGUAUUUUUGUACAAGAGCAUUCAUUAGAUCCUUUGAUAAAUGUGCAGGUCCGUGUGCCCAUUGUACGACUGCUGGGUACAAAUUCUUAGGGAGGCAGAACUUGAGGUUGUUGGAGUACACUCCAUCCUUCAGAACUGCCCCUUUCUGUUUUCAUCUUUGUAUUUCUUCAGGAGUAACUGCAGCCUGUUGUUCCCGUAGGAUUUUUAGAUCAGUUGGAAGUGUCUGCAAGGUAAAUGUGGGAGUUUCUUCGUUUCCGGACACACUUCUGUCCACUUCCUGUAGUUCUCUUGCAGCUUGUUUUGCAGCUUGAUCAGCCAGAUGGUUGCCCCUUGC